AUUAACCAGAAAUGAGGAGCAGAGAGCCUGGGGGAGGCUGGAAGCUGGGUACGCAGGGAGAGACAGAGACUAAGAGACAGUGAGAUACCAAGAUAGGGAGAGCCACGUGAUAGACUGGGGAGAGAUGAGAAAGAGACCAAGAGACCAUGAGGGAGUCAAGAGUCACCCCGCCACCCCCCUGCAGUGACCAAGCUGGCCCUGGCAGAGGGAGGGGUGUCUCUGGAGAGCUCCCAGCUGGAGGCAGGGUUUCUCUAUGUUGCCCAAGCUGGUCUUGAACUCCCGACCUCAAGUGAUCUGCCCGCCCCGGCCUCCCAAAGUGCUGGGAUCACAAGCGUGAGCCACCGCACCUGGCCCUUCCUCUGAGGCCUUCGUCUCCAAGAAUCCAGCAAAGUGACAAUAAUGAAAAUAAUGUCACUAAAGGGCCAGCACCACAGAAGAAAUCUCACUGGAACACCUGACUUCAAGUGUGACCUUGAAUCUCACUGAGCUCUCAAAUGUAACUGCCAGUUCCCCAAAAUGUGAGGAACUGAGAAACAGGGUGAAGAGCAGUGGCAUGAUCUUGGCUCAUUGCAACCUCCACCUCCUGGGCUCAGGCAAUCCACCUCAGCCACUUCCAUAGCUGGGACUACCAGCAUGUGCCACCAUGCUCAGGCUGGAGUGCAAUGGCACAAUCUCGGCUCACUGCGACCUCCAUCUCCCAGGUUCAAGCGAUACUCCUGCCUCAGCCUCCCAAGUAGCUUGGAUUACCGGUGCCCACCACCACGUCGAGCUAAUGUUUGUAUUUUUGGGACAGACAGGGUUUUACCAUGUUGUCCAGGCUGGUCUCGAUCUCCUGACCUCAGGUGAUCCACCUGCCUCGGCCUCCCAAAGUGCUGGGAUUACAGGUAUGAACCACAUGUGCCCAGCCCAAAAGCUACAAUUUUAUCCUCAACAGUCUGGUUCCCAAGUCUAUGCUCUUAAAAAGGUAACCCCCAUUCUCUCCCCUAAAAAGUCUCAACAGAGGGAGGAGUUGUCAACAAAUAUAUAGCAGAUCUUGCCCUAGAGUCUCCUGAAACAAAAGGUAGACUGAGUGUAAAUAAAGCUCUAGCCCAGUCCAGCCUAGCUCAAUUCCUGAUUGGACUGAGGUGAUCAGCCUGUUAUCCUAUCUGCCUAAGAGAGGGAAAGGACACUUCUCACUGGGCAAAGAUGACAUUGCUUCAUCCCUAUGGUUCUUUUUUAUACAAUGUCCAGAAUAUAAUAAAAAACUACAAGGCAAGGGAUGAGGCAGGAAAAUGUGGUGGAUAAGAGAGAAAAAGAGACAACAGAAGCAGACACAUGGAUGAUCAAAUCUGGAAGUCAGCAAACAGAAACUUUUAAAGUUAGAAGAAAAGAUGAGCAAAAAUGAGACAAAAGAUGGAGAAUUUCAACAGGGAAUUGGGAUCUACAAAAAAAUCACAUGGAUAUUUUACACUGGAAAAAAAUAUAUAAUAUCUGAAUUUUUUUUUUUUUUUUUUUUGAGACGGAGUCUCGCUCUGUCGCCCAGGCUGGAGUGCAGUGGUGCGAUCUCAGCUCACUGCAAGCUCCGCCUCCCGUGUUCAUGCCAUUCUCCUGCCUCAGCCUCCCGAGUAGCUGGGACUACAGGCACCCACCACCAUGCCCAGCUAAUUUUUUGUAUUUUUAGUAGAGACGGGGUUUCACCAUGUUAGCCAGGAUGGUCUCGAUCUCCUGACCUCGUGAUCUGCCUGCCUCAGCCUCCUGCAGUGCUGGGAUUACAGGCAUGAGCCACUGCGCCCGGCCUAAUAUCUGAAAUUAAGAACUCAACGGAUGGGGUCAACAGGACACUGGGCACAACAGAAGACAUAAGUGGUGAACUCAUAGACAAGUGAACAAAAAACUUCCCAGUUGGAUUACAGAGAGGAAAGAAUGGAAAAAACAGAACAGGACAUAACAGAUGUGAUCAAAAGGCCUAAUAUAUGUGUAAUUGGAGUCCCAGGAGUGAAGAGUGAAAAUGAGGCAGAAAAAAAUUCAAGUGAGAAUGGCUAAGAAUUUCCCCAAACUGAUGAAAGGCAUCCACCCACAAAUCCCAAUUUUGUACUUCCAACCACUGUUAUACCACCCCCCUCAACAAUGCCUAUAAAUGUUUGUUGAAAAUGAGUGAAUGAAUGUACUCCAAUCAUUUUCUCACUUGGAUGUUCCCUACUUUUUGCUCUUCUUAGAAAAUAAUAAAUGGUACAAUAAUAUCUCCCAUCUAUUGUAGGCUGACAAUAUCUCAGUACUACAGCCCCCCACAUUUUCACAUAACCUUAUGAAGUAGUUGGUGUUGUUACUGUCUCCAUUACAGGGGAGAAACCUGAGGCUCAGAGAUGUUAUGACUUAAGUAGUCUGUCCUAGCACUUUAACCUGCUCUGCUAAUCCUAAUGUCUAUACUCAUACCAGUGACUGUGUUCUCCCACCUUUACUAUCCUGUGCCUUCUGUGACCAAG
ensembl:lncRNA DOCK6-AS1 DOCK6 antisense RNA 1